rnacentral:rRNA from 1 species
AUCUGGCUCAGGAUGGAACGCUGGCGGCGUGCCUAACACAUGCAAGUCGAACGAAGCAUACGGACCGGAGAUUCGUCGAAGGACUGUAUGACUUAGUGGCGACGGUGAGUAAUGUAUGAGCAACCUGCCUUUCAGAGGGGGACAACAGUUGGAAACGACUGCUAAUACCGCGUAACGUAUCGUGGGGGCAUCCUCGUGAUACCAAAGGAGCAAUCCGCUGAAAGAUGGGCUCAUAUCUGAUUUAGCUUGUUGCGGGGUAACGGCCCACCAAGGCGACGAUCAGUAGCCGGACUGAGAGGUUGAACGGCCACAUUGGGACUGAGAUACGGCCCAGACUCCUACGGGAGGCAGCAGUGGGGAAUAUUGGGCAAUGGGCGAAAGCCUGAACCCCAGCAACGCCGCGUGAAGGAAGAAGGUCUUCGGAUUGUAAACUUCUUUUAUGAGGGACGAAGGACGUGACGGUACCUCAUGAAUAAGCCACGGCUAACUACGUGCCAGCCGCUGC